rnacentral:rRNA from 1 species
AACGCGUAUGCAAUCUACCUUUUGCAGAGGGAUAGCCCAGAGAAAUUUGGAUUAAUACCUCAUAGUAUAUAGAGUUGGCAUCAACACUAUAUUAAAGUCACAACGGCAAAAGAUGAGCAUGCGUCCCAUUAGCUAGAUGGUAAGGUAACGGCUUACCAUGGCAACGAUGGGUAGGGGUCCUGAGAGGGAGAUCCCCCACACUGGUACUGAGACACGGACCAGACUCCUACGGGAGGCAGCAGUGAGGAAUAUUGGUCAAUGGGCGCAAGCCUGAACCAGCCAUGCCGCGUGCAGGAUGACGGUCCUAUGGAUUGUAAACUGCUUUUGUACGAGAAGAAACACUACUUCGUGAAGUAGCUUGACGGUAUCGUAAGAAUAAGGAUCGGCUAACUCCGUGCCAGCAGCCGCGGUAAUACGGAGGAUCCAAGCGUUAUCCGGAAUCAUUGGGUUUAAAGGGUCCGUAGGCGGUUUAGUAAGUCAGUGGUGAAAGCCCAUCGCUCAACGCGGGAACGGCCAUUGAUACUGCUAAACUUGAAUUAUUAGGA